rnacentral:lncRNA from 1 species
UGCAUCACAUCAUCAUUAUUUUCAUUACACUCCAUAUAUUGUUCUUGUGCUUUGAUUGUAUUUCUAUCUUGACUUGAUAUCUAUCCAUCUGUUCUAUUUUUCUAUACUUGUAUUUGAUGUACAUGUAUAUUGGUUCUUCUUCAUCUACAUGUAUUUAUUAUAAGUUUGUAUAUUAGAACUGCUAGUAAAGACGGUGUGGGCUAC